UACGGAGGGGGCUAGCGUUGUUCGGAAUUACUGGGCGUAAAGCGCACGUAGGCGGAUUUGCCAGUCAGGGGUGAAAUCCCGGGGCUCAACCUCGGAACUGCCUUUGAUACAGCAAGUCUUGAGUUCGAGAGAGGUGGGUGGAAUUCCUAGUGUAGAGGUGAAAUGCGUAGAGAUGCGGAGGAACACCGAUGGCGAAGGCAGCCCCCUGGGCCAACACUGACGCUCAGGCACGAAAGCGUGGGGAGCAAACAGG
rnacentral:rRNA from 1 species